rnacentral:rRNA from 1 species
UGGGGAAUAUUGGACAAUGGGCGAAAGCCUGAUCCAGCCAUGCCGCGUGUGUGAAGAAGGUCUUCGGAUUGUAAAGCACUUUAAGUUGGGAGGAAGGGCAGUAAGCGAAUACCUUGCUGUUUUGACGUUACCGACAGAAUAAGCACCGGCUAACUCUGUGCCAGCAGCCGCGGUAAUACAGAGGGUGCAAGCGUUAAUCGGAAUUACUGGGCGUAAAGCGCGCGUAGGUGGUUCAUUAAGUUGAAUGUGAAAGCCCCGGGCUCAACCUGGGAACUGCAUCCAAAACUGGCGAGCUAGAGUAGGGCAGAGGGUGGUGGAAUUUCCUGUGUAGCGGUGAAAUGCGUAGAGAUAGGAAGGAACACCAGUGGCGAAGGCGACCACCUGGGCUCAUACUGACACUGAGGUGCGAAAGCGUGGGGAGCAAACAGG